CUAUAUAUGUAUAGCGGUGACCAAAUAUCCUAAAAGACAUUGCACUUCAUCAUUCCAUGCCUUCAGACAUUUAAGGGCCAUGGAUGGUGAUCUCCUCCAGAGACAAAAUAAAUGCUGGUGCACAACAGGUGGCCACAGAGUGCAUCUGCUCUGGGGGACCCAUCGCUCAUAUACCCUCCCAUAAGAGCAGGAAAGGGGAUUCAUAAAGACGUUCUUCUGAUGGGGAAUGCUCUACGAGGCCGCCUUCACAUGGUGAGUAGUGACCGUGACACCUCUGCAGCGUCCCUGGUCACUUGUAGCCCCUGAAAGGGUCAUCGGGAGCAGAUCACUUCUUUUCUUCAGGGCUGGAGAAAGUACCUCCGUGCAUUUUCCAGGUAAGAACUAACAGGGGCCGGGCACAUUGGCUUACGCCUGUAAUCUCAGCCCUUUGGGAGGCCGAGGUGGGCAGAUCACCUGAGGUCAGGAGUUUGAGACCAGCCUGAACAACAUGGAGAAACCCUGUAUCUACUAAAAACACAAAAUUAGUUGGGCGUGGUGGCACGUUUGUAAAACCAGCUACUUGGGAGGCUGAGGCAGGAGAAUCACUUGAACCUAGGAGGCGGAGGUUGCGGUGAGCCGAGAUCCCGCCAUUGCACUCCACCCUGGGCAACAAGAGCAAAACUCCAUCUCAAGGAAAAAAAAAAAAACUAACAAGAAUUAGUCACAAGUGAAAACCUAAGUUCAAACUUUCAUAAAAGCAUGCUACAGAAAACAAAACCACCGGUGCCUACCUGCCAAUAUCUUGACCCAGACCUUCCUGAUGAGGGACAGAGGCAGAAAAGGCAGAAGCUUUCCACACAGUCCUUUGCCUGACUGUGACCCAAACUUUCUGUCCUGAGGCAGAGGUGGAAAGGGCAGUUUUUUCCCCCUGAAACUCAAGUCUCUUAACUGGAGGGUAAAGACAGAAAACCUCCAUUGUAGAAAGGGAAGGCUGGAAAGGACAACUCAAGCAAACUCCAGGCCUUCAACCAAAGAGUGGGAAGGUCCAGAUUUCAGGAGGAUUCACCACUUACUGCCCAUCUGUUUCUCUGAGUCAGAACGUGAGGAUUUCAAAGCUGGCCAGGCACCUAGUCCAGGAGGAAUGUGGUCUGAGAGACAAAAAUAGAUGUCACCUUGUAGACUAAGACAGACUCUAAGGUUAAGAAAACAAGAGUUACCUACGGGUCAAGGAUUCAGGGCUGGACUGGCAUAGCAACUUCCUAAAUUUCUGUGGCUAGAAGAAAAACCACACUCUUGCUAAACUCCUUAACAAUAGGAGCUAGCAGGCAAAUUGUCAAAAUCUUCCCAGCAAUUCUCAACUGGAUUUACAACCCAGAUCACCAGACCUCUGAUGGGACAGAGGAGUGCCCUUCCAUUCUUUCCUGAUAAGCAACUGCAGACCUCAAGCCAGUUUCAGCCAUGUUACAGGGACUGCACACAAACCGACUUCAUGUCCUAUAGUUCACCUUUUGACAUAAAGAGCCAAUUUCCAUCUAAUUUUAAUGCUAAAAUCUCUUCCCAAUGUGAAGAUGGGGUGCACGUUACAUAUAUGUUUACCCGUUGCACAUGAGCUCAACACCCCUCAGAAAUGGCGUUUCUCCAAACCUGCUGAAUAUGUAUAACUCCAUUGUGUGAUACACACCGUGUGAGGCACAAAAACCAACCUGCCCUCUCUCUCUCUCUCUCUGAAGAGAAAGCACCUCUUCAAAGACACACACCGGAGACUGUCUCUUCCUGGACUGCAAACUGAUCUCACCAAUCAAAUUCUUACUACUAUGUAGCCACCCUGGAGGCCUUUGAGAGGACAGUCAGAUGGUCAGAGAUGAGUCGCUCUGCAUUCUGCUCCCUGGGCCAAAAACGUCGACCUAGAAGGAAGGGGCUUAAGCACAAACAUGAUUUAAAAAGUUUGUUUGAGCCAAUGUGAGGACACUUGCCUGGAAGACUCAGAUCCAAGCAAUCUUGGAUGUGGGCUCCAUUUGCCCUUUGUUACAAGCAGGUUUCUAAAGACCAAAAAGGGAGACGGGGAGUUGGCUGGUACAAAAUUGCCUGUCAGGAACUCCCUGAAGUUUACAGAAAUAACAUUGAUUAAUGAUUAGCUAUACAUUGUUCAGCUACAGGGAGUGAGAGAUGGUGUCCAGUGCAGCAUGUUUAGGUUGCUUUAUAGCCACUUGUGAUGAUAGCAAGCUGUUUUAAUAGAUGAAUACACGGCUUCAAAACAGGGACAUAAGACGUUGUUGCUGUCUCAUUUUAAUGCCUAACUCUGGGCUUGUUAAUUUGAAAGCACUCACUUUCCUCACAUAAAAUUUCUUUUCUUUCCUCAGACAUUUGAAUUCUUUAUAGUUUAGGAAUAUUUUGAAUAAAUAUGUAUUUGUUUUACAUGUCUUUGGUAAACCAUAUUCACGUUUCUCUAGAAAUAGAAAUUCCAAUAGAAAUAUAAUGCCAGGCAUAUACGUACUUUUAAAUGUAUUAGUAGACAUGUUUUAAAAAGUAAAAAGAAAGAGGUGAAAUUAUUUUUUAUAAUAUAUAUUCAACUAAAUAUAUUUAAGGUAUUAUCAUUACCCCAUGUGACACUAGCAAGAUUUCAAGUGUUCAAUAGCUACCCGUGGUUUGUGGCUAUCAUAUUGGAAAGCACAAGUCUAUGGGGUAGAAAAGUUGAAUUUCUGGGUCAUAGCAUAUAUGUAUGUGUGUUUUACCACUAGAAUAUACAGGCAAACAAUUUUCCAAAGUUUUUGAACUUAUUUAUACUCUUGCCAGAAAUGAAUAGAAGAUUAUAACGCUUCCGUUGUGCCAAAAUCUGGGAAUGUCUUUUUUUUUAAGUCAAGUUUACUGAGGUAUAAUUAAAACUCACCAGCGUUACAUGUUGUACGUGGUUCUCAGUGAUAUACUCUCUUUGCAAAGCUGGCUUUUGGUGGUAGCUUUGAUUUAAAAGCUAAUGCCACGUAAAAAAAUUCAAUACGUAGGGCCAGGCGAGGUGGCUCAUGCCUGUAAUUCUAGCACUUUGGAAGGAUGAGGUGGACGGAUCACUUGAGGUCAGGGGUUUGAGAUCAGCCUGGCCAAAAUGGUGAAACCCCAUUUCUACUAAAAAUACAAAAAUUAGCCAGGUGUGGUGGGGGGAACCUAUAGUCUCAGCUACUUGGGAGACUGAGGCAGGAGGAUCAUCUGAGCUCUGGAGGCUGAAGUUUCAGUGAGCUAUCAUUGCA
rnacentral:lncRNA from 10 species